CAACCUGAACUCAGUCGUGAUUACCCGCUGAACUUAAGCAUAUCAUUUAGCGGAGGAAAAGAAACUAAAAAGGAUUCCCCUAGUAACGGCGAGUGAAACGGGAAGAGCCCAGCGCCGAAUCGAUCAGUCUUUGGCUGCUUCGAAAUGUGGCGUAUAGGUGUAGUCUUCCAGCAGUGUCGUAUGUCCGAAGUCCUUGCGAUUGAGGCCAUAAACCAGAGAGGGUGCGAGCCCCGUUCUGGAUAGCGGCGCUGUUGGAUCGACUGCUCCUUGGAGUCGGGUUGCUUGAAAGUGCAGCCUAAAGUGGGUGAUAAACUUCAUCUAAGGCUAAAUAUUGACUCGAUUGCGAUAGCGAACAAGUACCGUGAGGGAAAGUUGCAAAGGACUUUGAAGAGAGAGUUCAAGAGAACGUGAAAUCGCUGGAGUGGAACCGGAGACAGUUGAUGUUGCUUGGAGACAAUCUUGGUGGCUGAUCGCUUAGCUGUGAUCGCCGCCGGGAGUCGUUUCCUAUGCUACGCCGACGGCGUUGGCCGCUCGUUCUGGCCCGACAGUGUUGCCCAUCUCGCAAGAGACGGUGUCUUGUUGUCGGUCGUUGGUUCGUGGUGGCUAGCGUUUAGUUACGCUAGUGUGUGUGACGUCGGUGUGAAAGUCGACGACGUUUCCGACCCGUCUUGAAACACGGAUUACGGAGUGUUUGUCUGCUGCGAGUCAAAGGGUGUAAAAACCUUGCGGCGCAAUGAAAGUGAAGGUUAGUCUCGAACUGACCGACGUGGGAUCCGUGCUCUUCGGAGUGCGGCGCACCACGGCCCUAUGCGUGUCACUUGUGACUGUGUAGAGGUUGAGCAGUAGGCAAGCGACCCGAAAGAUGGUGAACUAUGCCUGAGCAGGAUGAAGCCAGAGGAAACUCUG
rnacentral:ncRNA from 1 species